GGAGAGGUGUCCGAGUGGUCGAAGGAGACGGUCUUGAAAACCGUUGAGCCCUUGCGGCUCCGUGGGUUCGAAUCCCACCCUCUCCG
rnacentral:tRNA from 1 species